rnacentral:rRNA from 1 species
AGAGUUUGAUCCUGGCUCAGAGUUAACGUUGGCGGCGUGCGUAACACAUGCAAGUCGAACGAGAAUCAGACAGCUUGCUGUUUGAGGAAAGUGGCAAACGGGUGAGUAACACGUAAGUAAUCUGCCCUCAAGAGGGGGAUAGCCUCGCGAAAGCGGGAUUAAUACCGCAUAAUACUUUGGGACAAAAGUCUUCAGAGUCAAAGCCUUCGGGCGCUUGAGGAUGAGCUUGCGGCCUAUUAGCUAGUUGGUGGAGUAAAAGCCUACCAAGGCAAAGAUGGGUAGCCGGCCUGAGAGGGUGUACGGUCACACUGGAACUGCGACACGGUCCAGACUCCUACGGGAGGCAGCAGUGGGGAAUUUUGCGCAAUGGGCGAAAGCCUGACGCAGCGACGCCGCGUGGAGGAUGAAGGCCUUCGGGUUGUAAACUCCUGUCAGAAGAGAAGAAUCCCCGAUUUAUCGGGUUGACGGUAUCUUCAGAGGAAGCCCCGGCCAACUACGUGCCAGCAGCCGCGGUAAAACGUAGGGGGCAAACGUUGCUCGGAAUUACUGGGCUUAAAGGG